rnacentral:rRNA from 1 species
CCUACGGGUGGCAGCAGUGAGGAAUAUUGGUCAAUGGCCGGAAGGCUGAACCAGCCAUGCCGCGUGAAGGUCAGUGCCCUAUGGGCGUUAAACUUCUUUUGUGCGGGAGCAAUAAUGGUCACGUGUGGCCAGACGAGAGUACCGUACGAAUAAGCAUCGGCUAACUCCGUGCCAGCAGCCGCGGUAAUACGGGGGAUGCAAGCGUUAUCCGGAUUUAUUGGGUUUAAAGGGUGCGUAGGCUGUGGGGUAAGUCAGCGGUGAAAUGCCCCCGCUCAACGGGGUGAAGUGCCAUUGAUACUGCCUGGCUUGAAUGCGGAUGCGGUGGGAGGAAUGUGUGGUGUAGCGGUGAAAUGCAUAGAUAUCACACAGAACACCGAUUGCGAAGGCAUCUCACGAAUCCGCGAUUGACGCUGAUGCACGAAAGCGUGGGUAUCAAACAGGAUUAGAUACCCCUGUAGUC